UUUAAUUUUUAAAAUUAACAAAUAAUCUGCCAUCAAUUUGUUUAAUGAUUGAUUAUUAUUAUUAAGGUCAAGCCCUGAAAAUGCAUUCGGGUUCUUCUUCCUUCCUUAAUACGUAUAUGCUUUUGUUGUAAUCCCCAAAUUUGAUUGCCGUUAGCAGUUGUUGCUCUGGCGCCGGAGCUCCGCACCGACAUUGCCAUUCGAAUUCGAGGCUUUGACUUGGGCUGAUGCGUGCGAAAGUAUAAGAAGAGGAUUUGUGGUGUUUAAUGACGGAACUAGUUGUUGUUUUGGGAUUGGGGAAUUGAAGGAGUUCCUCCGAGAUUGAUUCAUUCGUGCCGUGAGAAGAAAGCGAAGAUUCCCGAACCCCCUGGUGGUGUAUGCAGAAUCGGUUGUAUUCUCUGUCAGGGGAAGUUUUUAUGAGAAUUAGGGGGGCGGGGGCGGAGAGAUGUCGUCGGGAGGUGAGUACAACGAUCGCGUGGUUUUAUUGCGCUCCAAUUCGUCGGGUUCCGACGGGGAUCUGGAGCGAGGAAGCGGGCAAACCCCAGGCAGGAGCAGUAACACCAACGGCAAGGGUGCUUUUGCGUCGGAUCUAUUGAAACGUUUAGAUCGAGGGUUAUCGGCGUCGGGUCGACGAUUGAGCAUCAAGCUCCGGCCGGAAAGGGAUCAUUUUCGCCUUCCUUCUACGCCUUCCCCCUCUUCGUCUUAUCCUUCAUCCUCAGAUCGUGGUGGUCCUGCCAAUGCCGUUGCCGAAGAUGAUUACCUCGGAGAUAGUGCACCACCGGAGUGGGCGUUGCUACUAAUUGGAUGCCUCCUCGGCGUUGCAACGGGCCUCUGUGUUGCAGCUUUUAACCGUGGGGUGCAUGUGAUUCAUGAAUGGGCAUGGGCUGGUACCCCAAAUGAAGGCGCUGCUUGGCUUCGGUUGCAAAGACUUGCUGAUACAUGGCACCGGAUACUUUUGAUACCAGUUCUAGGUGGAGUUGUUGUGGGUGUUUUGCAUGGUAUUCUUGAAAUACUGGAUCAGAUAAGGUCACCCACUUCUUCUCAAGGACAAGGCUUGGACGGUCUUGCUGCAAUCUUCCCUGUAAUGAAGGCUGUCCAGGCAGCUGUAACUUUAGGUACCGGUUGUUCUUUGGGUCCUGAAGGGCCUAGUGUUGACAUUGGAAGAUCAUGUGCCAAUGGAUUCGCAGUGAUGAUGGAGAACAACAGGGAAAGGAGAAUCGCUCUUGUUGCUGCUGGUGCAGCUGCUGGGAUUGCUUCAGGUUUCAAUGCAGCUGUUGCUGGAUGUUUCUUUGCUAUCGAAACAGUUUUGAGGCCGCUUAGUGCUGAAAACUCUCCUCCCUUUACUACAGCGAUGAUAAUAUUGGCUUCAGUAAUCUCAUCUACCGUAUCAAAUGCUGUACUGGGGGAGAAACAGGCUUUCACAGUGCCCACGUAUGAUUUGAAAUCUGCUGCUGAGCUACCUUUGUACCUUAUACUUGGGAUGCUAUGUGGAGUAGUAAGUGUGGCUUUCGGUCGCUUGUUGGAUUGGUUCACUAAGGCAUUUCAGAUCAUCAAAGAAAAAUUCGGGAUUCCUGAUGUAGUCUGCCCUGCUUUGGGGGGUUUAGGAGCCGGUGUAAUUGCGCUCAAGUAUCCUGGAAUAUUAUAUUGGGGCUUUACGAAUGUUGAUGAAAUUCUACACACUGGAAAGACUGCCUCAGCUCCAGGAAUAUGGCUUCUAGCUCAGCUAUCUGCAGCUAAAGUUGUUGCCACUACUCUAUGUAAGGGGUCUGGCCUUGUUGGGGGCUUAUACGCCCCAAGUCUGAUGAUUGGAGCUGCUGUGGGUGCAGUAUUUGGGGGCUGUGCAGGAGAGUUGAUAAACUCAGCUAUUCCAGGAAAUGUUGCUGUCGCCGAGCCACAGGCCUAUGCAUUGGUUGGGAUGGCUGCAACUUUAGCGUCCAAUUGCUCAGUACCCUUAACCUCGGUUCUUCUUCUCUUUGAGCUGACUAAAGAUUACAGAAUCUUGCUACCCACCAUUGGUGCAGUUGGAUUGGCCAUAUGGGUGCCCUCUGUGACUACCCAGCCAAAGGAGUCAGGUGCAUCAGAUGCAAAGGGUACUCCACGGGUUUACAGUCCUGUUUCGCCACAUGAAGACAAAAGUGAAGAUAUAGAACUCUCGAUCAUUGGGAACUCCAGUAAUCUUCAUCCGGCAGAUUUCACUUUCUUGCUGGAAAAUAUUAAGGUUUCUCAAGCUAUGUCUAACAACUAUAUAACUGUCUCUGAAACACAAACUCUGCGAGAGGCACUAAACCGUAUGCGUGAUGGCCAACAGAACUGUCUCCUUGUAGUUGACACAGAAGACUUUUUGGAAGGGAUAUUGACGUAUGGGGACAUCAGGCGGUUUCUGUCCAAGAGAUCCAGCGACGUAUCGGGUGGUGGCUCACUAGAUGUAAAUACAUGUACGGUUGCCUCCAUUUUCACUCGCGGCAUAAGCUACCGUGGGCGAGAACGUGGGCUCUUAUUUUGUUAUCCAGAUACCGAUCUGGCUAUGGCAAAGCAACUAAUGGAAGCUAAAGGAAUCAAACAAUUGCCUGUAGUCAAGCCUGCUGACGACGCCCAAAGAGAACACCGAAAGCGAAAAGUUGCAGCCAUUCUUCACUAUGAUUCCAUCUGGAACUAUCUCAGAGACGAACUCAGCCAUCGGAAGCCAAUCAACACUCAGGAUGAAAAUUCCGGAAAGACGACAAGCAACGGACAUCAUUAAUGAAUGCAAAACAAUGCUUGUGGUGGAAUAACUGAAGUGCUUUUUAUACAGAAGAAUCGCUGGCUCCCGGCUCCGGUUAGGGCUCUAAUUCUGAUGCGGCGGUAAUUGCGGAAAUCUAGCGUGGGGGACACCCAAUCCAGGCAACCUCAUGUUAACGAGGGCAGAGGCGGGGUGGUUUGCUGUCCUGAGCAGAUUAUUCUCGAACCGGAUGUGGAGUUGCAGAGGGUCGGGUCGGUGAAGG